CAAUGUAUGAAGGUGGCAGAUUAGCGGCGAGAAGGUUUUGGAGCCUGUUUCGGAUAUUUCGGAAAUUCGUUUUUGCAGUUUUUUGCGUAGUUGAUUUUUUACUGUUUGUUGAGGGUUGUCGCUACCCUGGCACUUCUUCUGGUGUGUUUGUGGACAGCGGUUAGUUACAAUAGGGAUCGAGGAUUUGUGGAGUAAUUUGUGGGUUCUAGAGGCAUUCCGGUAAGUUCCAGAAGUUUUGGCGGGUUUUAGAUGAUCGAUUUCAGUAGCCGUUUUGUUGGGUUAUUUGGGAGUCUCUUUCGGAUAGAGCUUCAUUUAGUGGAU
rnacentral:lncRNA from 1 species